AGUGCUAUUUAAAUCUGAUGAUGAACGAGCAGUGCUUCCCAGAAUGCACUUUGAUCCAGUAGAUUUCAAACAUAUCUACAUCGCUCUGAGGAAACAGUUAAGAAGAGAGUCCGUUGUUCAGUGUGCUAAAUACAGCACUCUGAUAGACUGCAGAGCUGCUCUGGAUCCUCUCUGCGGCUGGUGUGUGAACACACACAGAUGUUCUACUCAAGAUGAGUGCUCGAAUACUUCAUGGGUGUCCAUCCCAAAAAACUCUCUCCAGACGCGGCUGUUUUCUUUUCAGAUGGCAGAGAAUUCUUCUAGAAAGGUAGA
ensembl:lncRNA